GAUGAACGCUGGCGGCGUGCCUAAUACAUGCAAGUCGAGCGAACAGACGAGGAGCUUGCUCCUCUGACGUUAGCGGCGGACGGGUGAGUAACACGUGGAUAACCUACCUAUAAGACUGGGAUAACUUCGGGAAACCGGAGCUAAUACCGGAUAAUAUAUUGAACCGCAUGGUUCAAUAAUGAAAGACGGGUUUGCUGUCACUUAUAGAUGGAUCCGCGCCGCAUUAGCUAGUUGGUAAGGUAACUGCUUACCAAGGCAACGAUGCGUAGCCGACCUGAGAGGGUGAAUGGCCACUCUGGAACUUAGACACGGGCCAGACUCCUACGAGAAGCCGCAGUAGGGAAUCUACCACAAUGGGCGAGAGCCUGACUGAGCAACACCGCGUGACUGAUGAAGUUCUCAGGAUCUGAAAACUCUGUUAUUAGGGAAGAACAAUUGUGUAAGUACCUAUGCACGUCUUGACGGUACCUAAUCAGAAAACCACGGCUACCUACGUG
rnacentral:rRNA from 1 species